GAAAAAUUUCGCACUGACACAUUUCCAUAAAUUUUCAAAUCAAAUUGUUCACAAAAUAAAAAAAAAGCCUAAAGAAAUAGAAAAAAAGAGAAAAGCUAAAAUCAUGAGCUUCCCAUUUACAUAGUGCCUAUAUAUCCAUCGCAGACCUGCGAUGUCCUCCCUUUCUCUCUCCCAAACCUCUCCUUCUCUCUCUAGAAAGACACAUUUUUUAAUCUGGUAAUACUCAUCUGUUUGAUAACUGAAUUUGCAUUUGUUAAUCACCAUUGAAAGAACAAACAAAAGGAUUGGAGGAGGGAUAUAUGGAGAGGAGGUUGAACACGCCCUCUGUUCUUAUUUUUACAGUACCUCCUCUCAGAUCUUAAUUUUCUGCAGGAUUUGGCAUCUGGGUUUUCAUUAAUCUGCCGAGAAAAUGCAAUCCGAUAGUGGUAAGUUGUUUAUCGGCGGCAUAUCUUGGGAUACAAAUGAGGAGCGGCUGAAAGAGUAUUUCAGCAGCUUCGGGGAGGUGGUAGAAGCUGUGAUCAUGAAGGAUCGGACCACAGGCCGUGCUCGUGGUUUUGGUUUUGUAGUAUUUUCUGACCCAGCUGUGGCGGACAAUGUUAUAAUGGAGAAGCACAACAUCGGUGGAAGGAUGGUUGAGGCAAAAAAGGCUGUUCCCAGGGAUGACCAGAAUAUUUUGGGUAGAAGCAGUGGCAGCAUCCAGGGUUCUCCAGGUCCAGGUCGCACAAGAAAGAUUUUUGUUGGAGGUUUAGCAUCCACUGUCACAGAGAGUGACUUCAAGAAGUACUUUGAACAGUUUGGAACAAUCACGGAUGUUGUGGUGAUGUAUGAUCACAACACCCAGAGGCCGAGAGGCUUUGGAUUCAUCACUUAUGAUUCAGAGGAGGCAGUGGACAAGGUUUUGCUUAAGACAUUUCAUGAACUGAAUGGGAAAAUGGUUGAGGUCAAGCGAGCAGUUCCGAAGGAGUUAUCACCUGGUCCCAGUCGCAGCCCUCUUGGAGGAUACAACUAUGGUCUGAGUAGGGUCAAUAGCUUCCUUAAUGGCUACACUCAGGGGUAUAAUCCAAGUACAGUUGGAGGCUAUGGACUUGGUAGAUACAGUCCAGUUGCAGGUGGUCGAAGUGGAUUUCCUCCAUAUGGUUCUGGUUAUGGAAUUGGUAUCAAUUAUGAGCCAGGGUUGAGCCCAGGAUUUGGUGGAAAUGCAAACUUGAAUAGUACUAUGAGCUACGGGCGGGGUUUGAGUCCUUAUUAUAUCAAUGUUUCAAAUAGGUUUAGCAGCCCCAUUGGGUAUGAUGGCAAUAAUGGAGGAAACGCGUCUUCGUUUUUCAGCUCAGUGACUCAGAACUUGUGGGGGAAUGGGAAUGGGAGUGGGGGUGGGGGUGGGAGUGGUCUUAAUUAUGGAACGAACUCCACAAAUGGCAAUGCUUACAUCGGAUCAGGAAGUGGGACCAUUGGAGGAAGUACGUUUGGAAAUUCUGGAGCUAAUUGGCCUUCUUCAGCAAUGUCAGCUCAAGGCGGCGGAAGUAAUGUUACUAACAAUAGCAGGAAUCUUGGUUAUGGAGUCGGGGAUAACAGUUACGGUCUGGGAACUGGAGGGUAUGGAAGAAACAGUGGUGCAAGUGUGGCCCCUACAUCUUCAUUUGCUGCAUCAAAUGGUGGUGGUUUUGAUGGUUCCUUGGCUGACUUUUACAGUAGUAAUUCAGUUUAUGGAGACCCUACUUGGAGAUCAUCAAAUUCCGAUCGAGAUGGACCUGGUCCCUUUGGUUAUGGGCUUGGCAGUGCAGCCUCUGAUGUUUCAGCUAAAAGCUCUCCUGGUUAUGUUGGUGGUUAUAGUGUUAAUAAGAGACAGCCAAAUACAGGGGCAUGAAAUUAUGGAGAAGGAAGAUGUAGUUGGGCUAAAAAGUGACUGUCUUAUGGCUGUUCAACUGCUGCAGUUUGGAGUGUGUCAAAGUAACAACGGAGAGAUAAACAAGGGACAGAGAAUAGGCUAUCGCUGAAAGAAUUGCUGCCUAGGAUCGUCAUUUCUGAUAUCACGACACUGUAGGUGAAGAUAAUGAAGCAGGUGAAUUGUGAAUUUUGCACACCACCGCAUAUUACAGUAAGAGAAAUUUGGUUAGUAAGGGCUAACUGUGGGUGGCUGUUUUGAAGAAGUUAAAUAUAGAGUUAGAAGUUGAAAAAUGGAUUUUGUGUUAAUUCUGUGAGUUUUGAGUUACGAUUUUAGGUUUUUUGUUUUGGUCUUUGAGUGAGAUGUAAAACCAGAUUGCGGGAUAUAGUCAGAAGUGUAUCAUGCAUCUCCGGUGAGGCGACGAUACCCUAAAAGAAAAAGAGGAAAAACCAAAAAAAUCAAAAGAGAGAGACUGAUACAUAUUUUUUUCCCUCUAGAAUUUUAUCUGUACAAUCUCCUGGCCAAGUUGUGGGUUCUGGUAAGGGAUUGCUGUUUUUUUUUUUUUUUUUUUUUUUCAUUCAUUUUUUUUACCAUCAUUUGGUUUGUUUUUACUGUACCUGAGAUUAAUGUUGAUUUACUAUUAGUGUGAAACAUUUUAAGGGUUACCCAUGUAGGGACCCCCAUGAAUAAGUAGUCGCAUAUUCUGAUUCUUA